GACCAGAAAAGUAUCAACCUUACAUCUUAUCAUAAUCAUCAUCAUUUCUGGAAUGUCUUACUCACCGAUAAACUAUUAGCAACAAAAGAAAUGCCCAGAUAUUUCAGCAGCAACAAGUGGUAAUCAUACGAAAAUUGUUUGUGUGUGGUAUAAUUCUAGCUUUACUGAAGAAAGUAUGAUGUAUAGUUUAUAGUUUAUCAGAGUGCCUUACUUUUACAGCUACAAUUUAACCCAUGACCUUUGGGCGCCAUCCAGCAAUGACAUCCUCUUGCAGAGCUAUAGUCUUGACAAAUGAAUCCAUUGAAAAGAUAGUCUUCAUAUAUUUUUUCACAUGUGAAAGUGAAUCUGGAACAGACCAAUUCUUAUAGUGACCUAGAGCUAUCUCCAUGUGAUAUAGUUUGGGGGCAAGAGAGAGAUCAGCAGCAGAUAUUGUUUCACCGUUAAUAAAUGGACCAUUGUCUUUUAGAUAGCUAUCGAAUGAAGUCAGCUCACUAAGCAGUGCCUGUUCUGUUCCAUCAUUCGGAUCUUUGCUUUUAAGGAAACCAAUAAAGGUGGAAAAUAUUUUUGACCCGACUGAAGCCUUUUCUGGAGGAGUUGCCAAGGAUGGUUCAGGGUACUUCUCUUCUAUCGCUUGUGUAAUAACAUCAGAAUCAGCAACCCAUUGUUCCUCAAGCUUGACAAUAGGCACCUUACCUUCUGGGCUAAUUUUCAGAAACCAAUCAGGUUUGUUAGCGAGAUCAACUAGUUUUAUAUCAUACGGAAGAUGCUUCUCCUCUAUUGUCAACAACACUCUCUGUGUGAAAGGACAGUCGCCGAGGCGGUCGGGGACGGUGAGGGAGGCCUUGGCGCAGACCUCCAGCGGCUCCGCCGAGGCGCGAGCCGUGAGUAAGGCCGCGCGGCGCGGCGCCGAGCCGCGUGUCGCGGGGAGGAGGAGGAGGCGCCUGCCGCCGCGUCGGAACGUGGUGGCGAGGAGCGCCGUCGCCGAGGAGGAGCCGCCGCUCGUGGCGGUCGUAGCGGAGGUGGUGGUGCGGAGGAGGACGGCCAUGCGUAUCGGCAGCUCGCCGGAGCGGGCCGGCCUCCGGUGGUCGGGACGGGGACGGCGGUGAGGGGAGGCCGCAGAGGAGGAAUUUUUUUUGAAAAAAAAAAAAAAACUUAUCUCCUCGGGCGAGGCGUGUAUGGUGGUGGCUUCCAGAAUACG
rnacentral:sRNA from 1 species